CUACCGGGGUAUCUAAUCCUGUUCGAUCCCCACGCUUUCGUGCCUCAGCGUCAAUCAUACCUUGGAAAGCUGCCUACGCUAUCGGUGUUCUGUGGCAUAUCUAUGCAUUUCACCGCUACUUGCCACAUUCCGCUUCCCUCAAGUACAUUCAAGACACCCAGUAUCAACGGCACUGCGAUGGUUGAGCCACCGUCUUUCACCACUGACUUAGAUGUCCGCCUACGCACCCUUUAAACCCAAUAAUUCCGGAUAACGCUCGGAUCCUCCGUAUUACCGCGGCUGCUGGCAC
rnacentral:rRNA from 1 species